AGCAAAUUUUUCUUAGAUUUCGAGCAAACAUUUUGCAAAAUGCAAAAUCUAGCAUCACUUCUCUCUCACACGUGAUCAGAUAAACGAGUUGUAAAGAUUAAAGAUAUAUUCAAACAUGUCAUCAACAAAACACCAGCAUUUCUAUAAAUCGAUUGAGGCUCGCUCCCACAAAUCCGGCAAUGACAAAGUUCGAAAAACUAUCGAAUUCACAAGAUCAGCUCGAUACACGGAAAUAGUGGAACGCAGUGGCGCAGUCCCAGCAAAGACAAAGCUAACAGUAAACCAGACCCAGCUAACAAUUACUAAUAAUGAUGAUACAAUGGAUGAGCAUUUUUCCCAAAGCUUAGGCUUGAUGGAUACAAGUAUGAAUAACAUGCAAGAAGCGACACACGAGAAUAAGCAACAGUUCAACGAAGCUUGCCGUAAAAUAUCUGAACCAUACCUGAAGCGCGUAGACAAGCUCAAAAUAGAUCUUGAACAGAAAACCCCUAUUGCAAAAAAAUACAAGGAAUUGGAAAAGAAAGCUGCUGACGAAAAAUGCUCGAUCAAAAACAGUUUGCUAGAAGUUAUGGAAGCAGUUCCGAAGCAGAAAAAACGACAGAAGAUUUUGUCUGAGCUGUUGGAAGCCUUUUCCAAUUAAUAUACAUAAUAGCAAUGCUACUCUCUAUUGUAUGCGAUGAAUCACAUUCGAUAAUGUUUGAAACAAUUAUUGUAAACAAAUCGAUGUAAUAUAAAUGUUGAUUCGAAAUUUGUUUUGGUAAACAAAAUUUUAUAGUGGUUCAACCUUCCAUUUAACUAACUACACACAUAUGACGUUACAUUUCGUAUCUUUUAAUUUUAUUAUUAUAUUGGAUUGAAUUCUGCAAUUUUGGGUGGUUUGACAAAAACUGAACGUCGCCAUUUCAAAUUUCGAAAAGACGUCUGAAGUCGAUUCUCGAUUUUGAGCAUCAUCCCGAUUCUGGAAAUUUGGCCACAUUGUAGGGUAUUUGACCAUUUUAGGCUUUCAGAAACCGGCAGUCGCAAUCUUGGUUUUGGCAACUGGCGCUGAUUUUUAGUUCCUCGUCAUCUUGGAAUUCAAAUUUGACAAUUGCGGGGCUAGCGCUACGAUCCUACUGGCACCAACAGUCUCUCCCGAGCCGGAACUCCAACCUACGACGACUGGCUUGUUAGGCCAGCAUCGUACAUCAAAACCAACUGGAAGGUGCAUUCGAAUUCAAAAUUGUAUCUGCCGUUAAUUUUCAGCCUCGCCGUUAUCCGUUCAAGAAAUACCCAGAUUUGUCUUAUAUACUAAUCUUUCCAAGCGCUAUCCUUCGUAGGCUAGCAACACGUGACUUUUCCUACGUAAACUGGUUCAAAUAGUAAUUGGCUGAAGCAAUACUUAUGUAAUGCGUGGAUCGGAAAAACUAAAUUGCUGAAAAUCUCGUCGGAUGUGACCCUUUUACAUACACCGCACAAAAAAAGAAUCACAAAACAGUCGCACAAAUAAAAAAAAACCGCAUAUAAAAAACACUGGAAUACAUCUGGAGCUGAUUUCCGGCUUCUGAGCGGCAUUCCGACAGGAAUACCCAUUUUGGGCUUCUUCAAGAAUCGGAAAUCGCCAAUUUGGACUCCAAAAUCUCUGAAGUUUAUACUCGGUCACGGAAAAACUCAUACGGGAUAGUAUUCAACCAUUUUGGGAUGUGUUCAAGGAACAAGUAGCCUAUCUGGAUUUCAAAAUGACGUUUCAGGUCGGAUUCUGGCCUUUGAAAAUCAUCGCUUGUUUAUAUUCAGUAGAUGUGAUAAUGUUGAUAUACUAAAAGUACAUAGAACUAUUUAUUUUUAAAUCGUUAAUGUAUUUUACAUAUAUGUUUGAUAACAAUAAACUUCCGUUUCAAUCUAUUUACACAGCA